rnacentral:rRNA from 1 species
AUGGCACUGGGGACGCAGCCGCUGCGGCUCCGCGUCGGAGUGGCCUCUGCGGCGUGCCGGCCUCCGAGCCCCGGCAUCCGGGCGCGCAGUGGCGGGAGGAGGAGGACGCGGUCUGUAGCCGUAGCGGCGGCCGCGGCGGUGAAGGGGGCGGCGGCGGCGGUGGUGCGGGAGUUCUACGAGGGCGUGAACCGGCGCGACCUGGCGGCGGUGGCGCCGCUGAUCGCGGAGGGGUGCGUGUACGAGGACCUGGUGUUCCCGCGGCCCAUGGUGGGGCGGGACCGGGUGGUGGGCUUCUUCGGCGAGUUCAUGGGCUCCGUCAGCCCCGACCUCCGCUUCGUCAUCGACGACAUCUCCGGCGACGACCCCUCCGCCGUCGGCGUCACCUGGCACCUCGAGUGGAAGGGGCGGCCGUUCCCGUUCAGCAGGGGCUGCAGCUUCUACCGCUGCGAGCCCGACCCGCAGCGGCCGCAGCAGAUUCAGAUCGUGUAUGGCCGGGACUGCGUGGAGCCGGCGACCAAACCCGGGGAGCUGGCGCUGGUGGUCAUCAGGGGAGUCACCUGGAUUCUGGAGCGCUUCCCUAGCCUUGCCGACAGGCUCUGA